rnacentral:lncRNA from 1 species
UUGAGUCAUUAUUUAUAUUACAGGUGGCGAUCCCCACUACAUGAUACAUAUCAAAAAUAUGGAUCACCCGAUUUGCUUUGAUGUUCAGAGUGUUGAUGGGGAGGUCCAUAACCUCAUCACCGAUCCUAGAAACAAAAUCACAGUAAACACGCACAUUAUCAGCGGAGAGAUGGGUAGAUAAGGUGAACCAACGACAUACAUUGGCGAAGUAGCAAUACAGACAUCAAAUCAUAUUAUAGUCACAACACCAAUGCCAACAUUUUCGAUCCGAAGGUUUGCCCGUUGACAGAAGAAAAGUUGAAACGUUUUGGAGGACAUGAAUUUAUGCUGUCAGAUAAGGGUCAUCUGUUAACAGUUCGAUUCAAGUUCGGAGCGGAAGUUCUUAUUAGGCGCCAUAUGCACAAAGCAACAGAUACCAGAGCGAAUUAUCUGAACAUUUAUGUAAAGAAUGAAGAUGGAUUCAGCAAACAGACUACUGGUUUAAUUGGU